GAUAAACGCUAGCGGCAGGCUUAACACAUGCAAGUCGAGGGGCAGCAUAGAUUGUAGCAAUACAAUUGGUGGCGACCGGAGCACGGGUGCGUAACGCGUAUGCAACCUACCCGUCACAGGGGGAUAAUCCGGAGAAAUCUGGUCUAAUACCCCAUAACAUAUGGAUCGGCAUCGGUUCAUGUUGAAAUUUUCGGAGGUGACGGAUGGGCAUGCGUAGCAUUAGCUUGUUGGUGAGGUAACGGCUCACCAAGGCGACGAUGCUUAGGGGGACUGAGAGGUUUUCCCCCCCACACUGGUACUGCGAAACGGACCAGACUCCUACGGGAGGCAGCAGUGAGGAAUAUUGGUCAAUGGGCGCAAGCCUGAACCAGCCAUGCCGCGUGCAGGAUGACGGCUCUAUGAGUUGUAAACUGCUUUUGUACGAGGGUAAAGUGGGUUACGUGUAACCUUUUGAAAGUAUCGUACGAAUAAGGAUCGGCUAACUCCGUGCCAGCAGCCGCGGUAA
rnacentral:rRNA from 1 species